rnacentral:misc_RNA from 1 species
GAAAACAAACUCAACCACACCACACAUCAGCCUAAAUUUUGGACUCAAUUUUCAUUAUCUUCCUGAAGAGUUCUUUUGGUGCAGGCAUCCCAGUAAACCUCUCGUAUUGUUCAUAUGCCUGUCCAACAAACAUCUCCAAACCAGUGACGAUCUUGGCUCCAGAUGCUUCAGCAUCCUUCAAGAGUCUCGUCAUCACCGGGGUGUAAACAGCAUCGAACACCAGUGAAUAAUAUCGUAGCGCAUGCUUAGAAAUUGGUGUUUCCUCAACUUUUGGUUGCAUUCCUAUAGAUGUUGUGUUUGCGAGAAUCAUAUUCUCCUCCGGAUGGAAGUUAUCCAAGUCAGCAAGUGUGACAGCAUCAGCUCCAACGGUCUCCGCAAGCUCUUUUGCUCGUUCAUAUGUUCGAUUGGCAAUCACAACUUUAGCUCCUUUCUCUUUCGCCCCAUAUGCAAGUGCCUUGCCUGCUCCACCAGCACCAAUGACAACGAAUAGCCUGCCAGAUAAGGGUGAGCCAGACUGAGUGCUGACAGUCUGGUGACCUUUUAGUUUUUCCUCAAUAGCAGAAAUAGCACCAACAUAAUCCGUGUUGUAACCGCAAAAUUUCCCAUCAUGACUCCUUAUAAUGCAAUUAACAGCACCAAUUGACUUUGCCACCGGAUGAACCUCAUCACAGAACUUUGCUGCAGCCUCUUUAUGGGGAAUGGUACAGCUGAAUCCAGCGAAGUCUGAGGAUGAGUAAGUUUGGAGAAAGUUUACUAUGUCAUCCACCAAGAAAUGUACAUAAACCCCAUUGAAACCUAUUGCCUUGAAUGCCUCAUUGAAUAACAUGGGUGAUUUGCUGUGGCCCACUGGCUUUCCAAUAAUUCCAAAGACUUUUGUAUCAGGCCCUAUCUGUCUGAAAUUGUAUAAUGUUAAAAGGUCUUGAAUUGUUGGUUGCCCAGGAGCUGACACAAUUCCGGCCUCGA